rnacentral:rRNA from 1 species
AUUGAACGCUGGCGGCAGGCUUAACACAUGCAAGUCGAGCGGGGGAAGGUAGCUUGCUACCGGACCUAGCGGCGGACGGGUGAGUAAUGCUUAGGAAUCUGCCUAUUAGUGGGGGACAACAUCUCGAAAGGGAUGCUAAUACCGCAUACGUCCUACGGGAGAAAGCAGGGGAUCUUCGGACCUUGCGCUAAUAGAUGAGCCUAAGUCGGAUUAGCUAGUUGGUGGGGUAAAGGCCUACCAAGGCGACGAUCUGUAGCGGGUCUGAGAGGAUGGUCAGCCACACUGGGACUGAGACACGGCCCAGACUCCUACGGGAGGCAGCAGUGGGGAAUAUUGGACAAUGGGGGGAACCCUGAUCCAGCCAUGCCGCGUGUGUGAAGAAGGCCUUAUGGUUGUAAAGCACUUUAAGCGAGGAGGAGGCUACUUUAGUUAAUACCUAGAGAUAGUGGACGUUACUCGCAGAAUAAGCACCGGCUAGCUCUGUGCCAGCAGCCGCCGUAA